ACGUAGGGGGCGAGCGUUAUUCGGAAUUACUGGGUGUAAAGGGUAUGUAGGCGGCCCUUCAAGUCGCGUGUCAAAGUCCAGUGCUCAACGCUGGGUGUGCACGCGAUACUGACGGGCUUGAGGGCUGGAGAGGUGAGCGGAAUUCCCGGUGGGGGGGUAAAACGCGUAUGGCUGGGGAGGAGAAGCAACGGUGAAGGCAGCACACAGGACAGGUUCCGAGGGUAAUAUACUAAAUCGUGGGCAGGAAGUUU
rnacentral:rRNA from 1 species